rnacentral:rRNA from 1 species
AGAGUUUGAUCCUGGCUCAGGACGAACGCUGGCGGCACGCUUAACACAUGCAAGUCGAACGAGAGAAGAGGAGCUUGCUUUUCUGAUCUAGUGGCGGACGGGUGAGUAACACGUGAGCAAUCUGCCUUUCAGAGGGGGAUACCGAUUGGAAACGAUCGUUAAUACCGCAUAACAUAAUUGAACCGCAUGAUUUGAUUAUCAAAGAUUUAUCGCUGAAAGAUGAGCUCGCGUCUGAUUAGCUAGUUGGUAAGGUAACGGCUUACCAAGGCGACGAUCAGUAGCCGGACUGAGAGGUUGAUCGGCCACAUUGGGACUGAGACACGGCCCAGACUCCUACGGGAGGCAGCAGUGGGGAAUAUUGCACAAUGGAGGAAACUCUGAUGCAGCGAUGCCGCGUGAGGGAAGAAGGUUUUAGGAUUGUAAACCUCUGUCUUCAGGGACGAAAAAAGACGGUACCUGAGGAGGAAGCUCCGGCUAACUACGUGCCAGCAGCCGCGGUAAUACGUAGGGAGCGAGCGUUGUCCGGAAUUACUGGGUGUAAAGGGAGCGUAGGCGGGAUCGCAAGUCAGAUGUGAAAACUAUGGGCUUAACCCAUAAACUGCAUUUGAAACUGUGGUUCUUGAGUGAAGUAGAGGUAAGCGGAAUUCCUAGUGUAGCGGUGAAAUGCGUAGAUAUUAGGAGGAACAUCAGUGGCGAAGGCGGCUUACUGGGCUUUAACUGACGCUGAGGCUCGAAAGCGUGGGGAGCAAACAGGAUUAGAUACCCUGGUAGUCCACGCCGUAAACGAUGAUUACUAGGUGUGGGGGGACUGACCCCUUCCGUGCCGCAGCAAACGCAAUAAGUAAUCCACCUGGGGAGUACGACCGCAAGGUUGAAACUCAAAGGAAUUGACGGGGGCCCGCACAAGCAGUGGAGUAUGUGGAUUAAUUCGAAGCAACGCGAAGAACCUUACCAGGUCUUGACAUCGUAUGCAUAGCUCAGAGAUGAGUGAAAUCUCUUCGGAGACAUAUAGACAGGUGGUGCAUGGUUGUCGUCAGCUCGUGUCGUGAGAUGUUGGGUUAAGUCCCGCAAUGAGCGCAACCCUUACUGUUAGUUGCUACGCAAGAGCACUCUAGCAGGACUGCCGUUGACAAAACGGAGGAAGGUGGGGAUGACGUCAAAUCAUCAUGCCCCUUAUGACCUGGGCCUCACACGUACUACAAUGGCUGUCAACAGAGGGAAGCAAAGCCGCGAGGUGGAGCGAACCCCUAAAAGCAGUCUUAGUUCGGAUUGUAGGCUGCAACCCGCCUACAUGAAGUCGGAAUUGCUAGUAAUCGCAGAUCAGCAUGCUGCGGUGAAUACGUUCCCGGGCCUUGUACACACCGCCCGUCACGCCAUGGGAGUCGGUAACACCCGAAGCCUGUAGUCUAACCGCAAGGAGGACGCAGUCGAAGGUGGGAUUGAUGACUGGGGUGAAGUCGUAACAAGGUA